rnacentral:rRNA from 1 species
GGGUGAGUAAUAUAUCGGAACGUGCCCAGUCGUGGGGGAUAACGCAGCGAAAGCUGUGCUAAUACCGCAUACGAUCUAUGGAUGAAAGCGGGGGACCGUAAGGCCUCGCGCGAUUGGAGCGGCCGAUAUCAGAUUAGCUUGUUGGUGGGGUAAAAGCCCACCAAGGCGACGAUCUGUAGCUGGUCUGAGAGGACGACCAGCCACACUGGAACUGAGACACGGUCCAGACUCCUACGGGAGGCAGCAGUGGGGAAUUUUGGACAAUGGGCGCAAGCCUGAUCCAGCAAUGCCGCGUGCAGGAUGAAGGCCUUCGGGUUGUAAACUGCUUUUGUACGGAACGAAACGGCUCUUUCUAAUAAAGAGGGCUAAUGACGGUACCGUAAGAAUAAGCACCGGCUAACUACGUGCCAGCAGCCGCGGUAAUACGUAGGGUGCGAGCGUUAAUCGGAAUUACUGGGCGUAAAGCGUGCGCAGGCGGUUAUAUAAGACAGAUGUGAAAUCCCCGGGCUCAACCUGGGACCUGCAUUUGUGACUGUAUAGCUAGAGUACGGUAGAGGGGGAUGGAAUUCCGCGUGUAGCAGUGAAAUGCGUAGAUAUGCGGAGGAACACCGAUGGCGAAGGCAAUCCCCUGGACCUGUACUGACGCUCAUGCACGAAAGCGUGGGGAGCAAACAGGAUUAGAUACCCUGGUAGUCCACGCCCUAAACGAUGUCAACUGGUUGUUGGGUCUUCACUGACUCAGUAACGAAGCUAACGCGUGAAGUUGACCGCCUGGGGAGUACGGCCCGCAGGGUGAAACUCAAAAGAAUUGACGGGGGACC